AGCUGGUCUUUCCCUGACCUCCUUGGUCUCAUUCCAGUGCAAGAUCAAUUCCUUCUAGCAGAAGGGCCAGGCUCACAUCAUGGUCUGUCCCUUUCGAAAGCUGGAUACAAGCUCCAGCGUUGUGCCCGGUCACUUGUGGUGGAAUUGGAAAGCUGUAGUGACCGAAAGCUUUUCUGGAUGUUCUGGUGAUAUCUUUCCUAGAGGCUCCUGUCCUUAAAUCUCUGAAAAUAGUUGCUCUUUGUGCAGGUAUUGGGGGAAGUCAGGAGCCCAUCUGAGGGCUGGUCCUGUGCCAUGGGGCAGGCCAGGCUCACAUCUUGUGCCUGUCAGCAACGCCUGCUUUCCAGAGAGGUGGAGUGGAGGCGAUAAGCGCACUUGGCAGGGAUGUGUCACGGCUGCUUCCUCCAAGUGUGUUUCUUCUCUCCCAUCAUCAUCUGCAAAGUGCAAACAGCCUUCAGGGUGUUUCUGGAGAACUUUGUACAGAUGGAGAAACUCAAAGUUUAUGGAGCAAAUGCCAGUUUGGUGUCAGAGCAGGAUUAUAAACCUGUCCCCUGAUGAACAGGA